rnacentral:misc_RNA from 1 species
CUGAGUUCGGGGGCAGUCCCAGUCCCGACCUCCAACCCUUUGUGAACAUAUCUUGUUGCUUCGGGGGCGACCCUGCCGUUCGCGGCAUUCCCCCCGGAGGUCAUCAAAACACUGCAUUAUUACGUCGGAGUAAAAAGUUAAUUUAAUA